rnacentral:rRNA from 1 species
AUACGGAGGGUGCAAGCGUUAUUCGGAAUCACUGGGCGUAAAGGACGCGUAGGCGGGUUUGUAAGUCAGGUGUGAAAUCCUACAGCUUAACUGUAGAACUGCACUUGAAACUACAGACCUAGAGUAUGGGAGGGGCAGAUGGAAUUAGUGGUGUAGGGGUAAAAUCCGUAGAUAUCACUAGGAAUACCGAAAGCGAAGGCGAUCUGCUGGAACAUAACUGACGCUAAGGCGUGAAAGCGUGGGGAGCAAACAGGAUUAGAUACCCUAGUAGUCC